rnacentral:rRNA from 1 species
UACGUAGGGUGCAAGCGUUGUCCGGAAUUAUUGGGCGUAAAGAGCUCGUAGGCGGUCUGUCACGUCUGCUGUGAAAACUCGGGGCUUAACCCCGAGCCUGCAGUGGAUACGGGCAGACUAGAGGUAGGUAGGGGAGAAUGGAAUUCCCGGUGUAGCGGUGAAAUGCGCAGAUAUCGGGAGGAACACCGAUGGCGAAGGCAGGUCUCUGGGCCACUACUGACGCUGAGGAGCGAAAGCCAGGGGAGCAAAGCGGG